rnacentral:rRNA from 1 species
CCUACGGGAGGCAGCAGUGAGGAAUAUUUGUCAAUGGCCGGAAGGCUGAACCAGCCAUGCCGCGUGAAGGUCAGUGCCCUAUGGGCGUUAAACUUCUUUUGUGCGGGAGCAAUAAUGGUCACGUGUGGCCAGACGAGAGUACCGUACGAAUAAGCAUCGGCUAACUCCGUUCCAGCAGCCGCGGUAAUACGGGGGAUGCAAGCGUUAUCCGGAUUUAUUGGGUUUAACGGGUGCGUAGGCUGUUAGGUAAGUCAGCGGUGAAAUGCCCCCGCUCAACGGGGUGAAGUGCCAUUGAUACUGCCUGGCUGGAAUGCGGAUGCCGUGGGAGGAAUGUGUGGUGUAGCGGUGAAAUGCAUAGAUAUCACACAGAACACCGAUUGCGAAGGCAUCUCACGAAUCCGCGAUUGACGCUGAUGCACGAAAGCGUGGGUAUCAAACAGGAUUAGAUACCCUUGUAGUC